rnacentral:rRNA from 1 species
UACAGAGGGUGCAAGCGUUAAUCGGAAUUACUGGGCGUAAAGCGUGCGUAGACGGUCAUGUAAGUCGGGUGUGAAAGCCCCCGGGCUCAACCUGGGAACUGCAUCCGAUACUGGAUGGCUUGAAUCCGGGAGAGGGAUGCAGAAUUCCAGGUGUAGCGGUGAAAUGCGUAGAUAUCUGGAGGAAUACCGGUGGCGAAGGCGGCAUCCUGGACCGGCAUUGACGCUGAGGAGCGAAAGCCAGGGGAGCAAAGCGGG